UUACCCAAUUAAACAAGGUUCUGCAAACUUUAGUUGAGGGACUUCAGUGGCAGUGCAUAUAAAAAAAGCUGUCUUCAGCAGCGGCCAGACAACCGUAGAGAUGGAUCCACAGGUGGUAGGUUUAAUAUACCAAUUGUCUACUGAUUUCAUCUCACAUGA